CCUGGUUGAUCCUGCCAGUAACAUAUGCUUGUCUCAAAGAUUAAGCCAUGCAGGUCUAAGUACACACGGCCGGUACAGUGAAACUGCGAAUGGCUCAUUAAAUCAGUUAUGGUCCCUUUGAUCGCUCCACCCGGUACUUGGAUAACUGUGGCAAUUCCAGAGCUAAUACAUGCAAACGAGCGCCGACCCUCCCUCACGGGCGGGGACGCGUGCAUUUAUCAGAUCCAAAACCCAUCCGGGGUCGGGGAUCCGUCCUCGCCCCGGUCCCUUUGGUGACUCUAGAUAACCUCGGGCCGAUCGCGCGCCCUCUGCGGCGGCGACGACUCUUUCGAAUGUCUGCCCUAUCAACUUUCGAUGGUACUUUAGGCGCCUACCAUGGUGACCACGGGUAACGGGGAAUCAGGGUUCGAUUCCGGAGAGGGAGCCUGAGAAACGGCUACCACAUCCAAGGAAGGCAGCAGGCGCGCAAAUUACCCAUUUCCGACUCGGAGAGGUAGUGACGAAAAAUAACAAUACAGGUCUCUUUCGAGGCCCUGUAAUUGGAAUGAGCGUAUCCUAAACCCAUGGGCGAGGACCCAUUGGAGGGCAAGUCUGGUGCCAGCAGCCGCGGUAAUUCCAGCUCCAAUAGCGUAUAUUAAAGUUGCUGCAGUUAAAAAGCUCGUAGUUGGAUCUCGGGAGUGGGCUGGCGGUCCGCCGCGAGGCGAGCCACCGCCUGUCCCGGACCCUGCCUCCCGGCGCCCCCCGGAUGCCCUUAACUGGGUGUCCGGUCACCUCGGGGCUCGGAGCGUUUACUUUGAAAAAAUUAGAGUGUUCAAAGCAGGCCGCCUGUCGCCGCUGAAUACCGCAGCUAGGAAUAAUGGAAUAGGACUCCGGUUCUAUUUUGUGGGUUUCUGGAACCCGGGGCCAUGAUUAAGAGGGACGGCCGGGGGCAUUCGUAUUGCGCCGCUAGAGGUGAAAUUCUUGGACCGGCGCAAGACGGACGAAAGCGAAAGCAUUUGCCAAGAAUGUUUUCAUUAAUCAAGAACGAAAGUCGGAGGUUCGAAGACGAUCAGAUACCGUCGUAGUUUAGUAACAUUUACUGCACUUGUUAAAAUUACAAAUGACCUGCUCCUUGCGUCAGACCAAGGCUGCAUCUCAUUUCUAGUCUUACUUGAUCUUAGUGCUGCGUUCGACACCAUAGAUCAUGACAUACUCAUAGAUCGAUUACAAAACUAUACAGGUAUUCAAGGGCAGGCUCUAAGAUGGUUUAGAUCCUACCUGUCCGAUCGCUACCAUUUUGUUUACUUAAAUGGGGAGUCAUCUCAUUUAUCAUCAGUAAAAUAUGGAGUGCCACAAGGAUCCGUCCUAGGUCCCCUUCUAUUUUCAAUAUACAUGUUGCCCCUUGGUAAUAUUAUUAGAAAAUACGGAAUUAGCUUCCACUGUUAUGCUGAUGAUACUCAGCUAUAUAUAUCAACGAGACCAGAUGAAACUUCCCAAUUAUCUAAGCUAACAGAGUGUGUUAAAAAUGUAAAAGAUUGGAUGACAAAGAAUUUUCUCCAAUUAAAUUCGGAUAAGACGGAGAUAUUAAUUAUUGGACCAAAAAACACUACACAGAAUCUUGUAGAUUACAAUCUGCAACUAGACGGAUGUACUGUAACUUCCUCUACAGUCAGAAAUCUGGGUGUUAUAUUAGACAGCAAUUUGUCUUUUGAAAAUCAUAUUUCCAAUGUUACAAAAAUUGCAUUCUUCCAUCUUAGAAACAUUGCCAAGCUACGAAACAUGUUAUCUGUUUCUGAUGCAGAAAAGC
rnacentral:rRNA from 1 species